AAUUGGUGUAAUGGUUUCGGCGUCGAUCUUCGAUGCGAGCGGUAACUGGUUCGAUUCCCACUA
rnacentral:tRNA from 14 species